GACGAACGCUGGCGGCGUGCCUAAUACAUGCAAGUCGAACGCACUGGGGACGGGUGAGUAACACGUGGGUAACCUCCCAUCAGAGGGGAUAACACUUGGAUACAGGUGCUAAACCGAUACUGAUGGAUGGACCCGCGGGGCAUUAGCCAGUUGGUGAGGUAACGGCUCACCAAGGCCACGAUGCCUAGCCGACCUGAGAGGAUGAUCAGCCACACUGGGACUGAGACACGGCCCAGACUCCUACGGGAGGCAGCAGUAGGGAAUCUUGGGCAAUGGGCGAAAGUCUGACCGAGCAACGCCGCGUGAAUGAAGAAGGUCUUCGGAUCGUAAAGCUCUGUCGUUAGGGAAGCGGUAUCUAACGAAGAAGCCACGGCUAACUACGUGCCAGCAGCCGCGGUAAUAC
rnacentral:rRNA from 1 species